rnacentral:rRNA from 1 species
UGGGGAAUUUUCGGACAAUGGGCGAAAGCCUGAUCCAGCAAUGCCGCGUGUGUGAAGAAGGCCUUCGGGUUGUAAAGCACUUUUGUCCGGAAAGAAAUCCUUGGCUCUAAUACAGUCGGGGGAUGACGGUACCGGAAGAAUAAGCACCGGCUAACUACGUGCCAGCAGCCGCGGUAAUACGUAGGGUGCAAGCGUUAAUCGGAAUUACUGGGCGUAAAGCGUGCGCAGGCGGUUUGCUAAGACCGAUGUGAAAUCCCCGGGCUCAACCUGGGAACUGCAUUGGUGACUGGCAGGCUAGAGUAUGGCAGAGGGGGGUUAGAAUUCCACGUGUAGCAGUGAAAUGCGUAGAGAUGUGGAGGAAUACCGAUGGCGAAGGCAGCCCCCUGGGCCAAUACUGACGCUCAUGCACGAAAGCGUGGGGAGCAAACAGGAUUAGAUACCCUGGUAGUCCACGCCCUAAACGAUGUCAACUAGUUGUUGGGGAUUCAUUUCCUUAGUAACGUAGCUAACGCGUGAAGUUGACCGCCUGGGGGAGUACGGUCGCAAGAUUAAAACUCAAAGGAAUUGACGGGG